UACGUAGGGGCGAGCGUUGUCCGGAGUACUGGGCGUAAAGCGCACGCAGGCGGUCUGCUAAGUUUGGAGUGACAGUUGGUGGCUUAACUGCCAAAGUGCUUCGAAAACUGACAGACUUGAGGGCUUCAGAGGGACACGGAAUUCCGGGUGGAGUGGUGAAAUGCGUAGAGAUCCGGAGGAACACCAAAGGCGAAGGCAGUGUCCUGGGAGUACCUGACGCUCAGGUGCGGAAAGCCAGGGAGGCGAACGGG
rnacentral:rRNA from 1 species